rnacentral:rRNA from 1 species
AUUGAACGCUGGCGGCAUGCUUUACACAUGCAAGUCGAACGGCAGCACGGGUGCUUGCACCUGGUGGCGAGUGGCGAACGGGUGAGUAAUGCAUCGGAACGUGCCCAUGAGUGGGGGAUAGCCCGGCGAAAGCCGGAUUAAUACCGCAUACGCCCUUAGGGGGAAAGCGGGGGGUCUUCGGACCUCGCGCUAUUGGAGCGGCCGAUGUCGGAUUAGCUAGUAGGUGAGGUAAAGGCUCACCUAGGCGACGAUCCGUAGCUGGUCUGAGAGGAUGAUCAGCCACACUGGGACUGAGACACGGCCCAGACUCCUACGGGAGGCAGCAGUGGGGAAUUUUGGACAAUGGGCGCAAGCCUGAUCCAGCCAUGCCGCGUGAGUGAAGAAGGCCUCGGUU